rnacentral:rRNA from 1 species
UACGAAGGGGGCUAGCGUUGCUCGGAAUCACUGGGCGUAAAGGGCGCGUAGGCGGCCAUUCAAGUCGGGGGUGAAAGCCCAGGGCUCAACCCUGGAAUUGCCUUCGAUACUGUUUGGCUAGAGACCGGAAGAGGUUAGUGGAACUGCGAGUGUAGAGGUGAAAUUCGUAGAUAUUCGCAAGAACACCAGUGGCGAAGGCGGCCAACUGGUCCGGUUCUGACGCUGAGGCGCGAAAGCGUGGGGAGCAAACAGG